rnacentral:rRNA from 1 species
GACGAACGCUGGCGGCGUGCUUAACACAUGCAAGUCGAACGGAAAGGCCCUGCUUUUGUGGGGUGCUCGAGUGGCGAACGGGUGAGUAACACGUGAGUAACCUGCCCUUGACUUUGGGAUAACUUCAGGAAACUGGGGCUAAUACCGGAUAGGAGCUCCUGCUGCAUGGUGGGGGUUGGAAAGUUUCGGCGGUUGGGGAUGGACUCGCGGCUGAUCAGCUUGUUGGUGGGGUAGUGGCUUACCAAGGCUUUGACGGGUAGCCGGCCUGAGAGGGUGACCGGCCACAUUGGGACUGAGAUACGGACCAGACUCCUACGGGAGGCAGCAGUGGGGAAUAUUGCACAAUGGGCGGAAGCCUGAUGCAGCAACGCCGCGUGCGGGAUGACGGCCUUCGGGUUGUAAACCGCUUUCGCCUGUGACGAAGCGUGAGUGACGGUAAUGGGUAAAGAAGCACCGGCUAACUACGUG